UCAGAUGUUCUUACCUUACCAAUCCCUACUGAGGAGACUGAGGUGUAAUGGUCCUGAGGAAAAGAAGUAAUGGAAACUGAUGAGACUAGUCUGCAGUCCACACCAACACAGGGACGAGCUGGUCUCACUGCACUACAAGCUGGCUGGCAUGUCGACCAGAACAACGGAUAUCCCCGCAGAAAUCUGGAGAAGGACACAGGAUGCAGAAGAGGAAGUAAGCAAUGAGGGAAAAGAGCUGGGUCCAGACAACAGAAACUUAGGGAGAAGAGGAGAUAUAAGCCGUAUCUCCCUUCUCUCAUCAUGGCCAACGUGAAAUCACUGGCGAAUAAGAUGGAUGAGCUAACGGCGCUAGGCAGAAGUCAGAGGGAGUUCCGGGAGUGUAGUCUCAUGUGUUUUACUGAAAAAGGGCUGCCCCAGGAUAUAUCUGACCACAACGUUUCCAUUGAUGGCUUUCAGACUGUUCUGGUCGACAGGGAUUGCACCGAGAGCAGUAAGCGUAAAGGUGGCAUGCGUAAAUGCUGGUUAAUAACAGAUGGUGCCAUCCUGGUCACAUUAUGAUCAUGCAUUUGUUGCCUAACUUUUUGUCGUGGGAAAUUUGUCAACAUGUCAAUGUCGUGGCUGUCUCCCCCCCACCCCUCUGCCAACUCGACAUCGGCAUGUGACGUCAUUCACACCACCAUAGCUCGACUCAAGACUCAACACCCAAGUGCCCUCAUCGCAAUCUUAGGUGACUUCAACCACAUCACCAUGGCAAAAAGCCUGCCCAACUUCACCCAGUAUGUGAGCUGUCCAACUAGACACGAGAGGACCCUGGACUUGCUGUAUGCUAAUGCUAAGGAUGCAUACACCUCUUAUUCCCUCCCCCCCGGGUAGGUUAGACCACAACCUAGUGCACCUCAACAUGUGCAUCUGGUGAAAAGUCAGUCUGCGACUGCAAGGACAGUGAGGAGAUGGUCGGAGGAGGCCUAUGAGACACUUCAGGGCUGUUUUGAGGUGACAGUCUGGCAUGCAAUCUGUGAGCUGCAUGGAGAGAACAUUGAUGGGCUUACGGAGUGCAUCACAGACUACAUCAACUUCUGCGUGGACUGCACUGUCCCAGCGAAGACUGUCCAUUGUUUUUCUAACAAGCCAUGGGUAUGGAAUUGAACUGUGCAAUACUCUGGUAUACUCUGGCAUUAAUACUGCAUUUAUACUGUACAAUUUAUUUAUACUAUUCUUGCAUUUUAACACAUUUAUAGAUCCAAUUUCUUAGCAUUAUUAUUAUUUACACUGUUAUAUAUUGCAGUAUGAUGCACAUAUUUUUUACAUAUUUCAUAUUUUCUCAUUGUUCUAUUUAUUUUGUUGUUUAUAUUGUAGUUUAAUGCACAUUAAGAUAUCUACAUUGUCCAUGCACAGCAGUUUUCCUGCUUAGGCCUAACUAUAUUAUUCCUGCUUCCCCACACUGACACCUGGCUUACAUCAUAAUUUACCUCAAAACAUUUUAAUCAAUCUCACUCCACUUAUAUUAAUAGAAAGGAAGAUAAUUGCAUUGACAGUCCCUAUGUAGUUUACAAAACUGAUGGUGACAAUUUUAUUGGUUACCUAAGUUUUAAUACAAUUACAUACAUAAAUACAUACAUGUAUGUAGAUGUAUGUAUUUCACCA